rnacentral:rRNA from 1 species
AGGGGGAUAACUACUGGAAACGGUAGCUAAUACCGCAUGACGUCGCAAGACCAAAGUGGGGGACCUUCGGGCCUCACGCCAUCGGAUGUGCCCAGAUGGGAUUAGCUAGUAGGUGAGGUAAUGGCUCACCUAGGCGACGAUCCCUAGCUGGUCUGAGAGGAUGACCAGCCACACUGGAACUGAGACACGGUCCAGACUCCUACGGGAGGCAGCAGUGGGGAAUAUUGCACAAUGGGCGCAAGCCUGAUGCAGCCAUGCCGCGUGUGUGAAGAAGGCCUUAGGGUUGUAAAGCACUUUCAGCGAGGAGGAAGGGUUCAGUGUUAAUAGCACUGUGCAUUGACGUUACUCGCAGAAGAAGCACCGGCUAACUCCGUGCCAGCAGCCGCGGUAAUACGGAGGGUGCAAGCGUUAAUCGGAAUUACUGGGCGUAAAGCGCACGCAGGCGGUUUGUUAAGUCAGAUGUGAAAUCCCCGAGCUUAACUUGGGAACUGCAUUUGAAACUGGCAAGCUAGAGUCUUGUAGAGGGGGGUAGAAUUCCAGGUGUAGCGGUGAAAUGCGUA